CACCUGGACGAGUUUCCGUCUGAGGUCCGGUUUCAUCUCCUUGAGCAGUUCCUGGCUGUUACUGUUGAUGAACAGGUUGAGGGCAGCCUCUGCAAGUUGAAAAAUGAGGGGAUCGAUACUUUCGGACAAACAACGCUUGCAGUCCAUCUUGAGCUGCUGAAGAUGCAAGUACUGUCUGCCACCGAUUGGAGUAGGCUUGGCUCUGAUGAACACCUUGGCUUUUACACCCUCUGCAGGAAAAGAAAGGAUUAUCGUCAAAUACUUAGAAGAUUGCUAACACCGUGAUACCUCGGAAAAUAAAACCCAAAGUUUUAGACAUGA